rnacentral:tRNA from 1 species
UCCCUUGUGGUCCGGUGGCUAAGAUUCUACACCUCUAAUGCAGGGGGCUCAGGUUCAAUCCCUGGCCAGGGAA